rnacentral:rRNA from 1 species
UAGGGAAUAUUAGUAAUGGAGGAAACUCUGAACUAGCGAUACCGCGUGCGCGAAGAAGGCCUUCGGGUUGUAAAGCGCUUUUUGAGAGGAUGAGGAAGGACGGUACUCUCAGAAUAAGUCUCGGCUAACUACGUGCCAGCAGCCGCGGUAACACGUAGGAGGCAAACGUUAUCCGGAUUUACUGGGCGUAAAGCGCGUGUAGGUGGUACUGUAAGUAGGGCGUGAAAGCUCCUGGCUCAACUGGGAGAGGCCGUUCUAAACUGCAGCACUCGAGUUUGGUAGAGGAAGAUGGAAUUCCAGGUGUAGCGGUAAAAUGCGCAGAUAUCUGGAGGAACACCAGUGGCGAAAGCGGUCUUCUAGCCAAUACUGACACUCAGACGCGAAAGCUAGGGUAGCAAAC